AAGCAACAAAGUGUUAUCUAUAUCCACGCAGUACAACCUGGAAUGGUACAUAACAUGCCAAACACUCGAAUACCUACAAGGAACAAACACGAAUACGAUCAACUAUGGAAGCCCGAAAUGGCGGGAUAUAAUGGUCAACAGCCGGCUCAUAUAACAAAUAACCAACAACAACCAGGUCAUUUACAAGGAAAUCAGAUGCUUAUUUGAGACUAACAUGAGCAACAACCACAAUCAUUUAAAAUGGCUUACCAGCAACAAAA
rnacentral:lncRNA from 1 species